UCAGGUAAUGUAUAAACUCGAUCUUACUUUUUUAUCGGUUUAAUUUUUAAGUGUGUUGUAAAUAUAACUUGUUGUGUUAUUUAUUUUCUUCAUAUGGCUUACUCUUGGGCCUUCUUACAAUGAGACAGUUCUCUCUCACUUACACUCAUACAUUGCAUUAUUUAUUGUUUGGGCCCGAUUUAAUUAUUCUAGUACUUUGAAUCCCCAUUUGACA
rnacentral:lncRNA from 1 species